rnacentral:rRNA from 1 species
CAAUAGCGUAUAUUAAAGUUGUUGCAGUUAAAAAGCUCGUAGUUGGAUUUCGGGACGGGCCAGUUGGUCCGCCGCAAGGUGUGUUACUGACUGGUCUGUUCUUCUUCGCAAAGACUGCGUGUGCUCUUCGUUGAGUGUGCGUAGGAUUUACGACGUUUACUUUGAAAAAAUUAGAGUGUUCAAAGCAGGCUAUCGCUUGAAUACAUGAGCAUGGAAUAAUGGAAUAGGACUUUGGUCCUAUUUUGUUGGUUUCUAGGACCGAAGUAAUGAUUAAGAGGGACAAUUGGGGGCGUCCGUAUUUCGUUGUCAGAGGUGAAAUUCUUGGAUUUACGAAAGACGAACAACUGCGAAAGCACUUGCCAAGAGCGUUUUCAUUAA